rnacentral:rRNA from 1 species
CACGUAGGGCGCAAGCGUUGUCCGGAAUUAUUGGGCGUAAAGAGCUCGUAGGCGGACUGUCACGUCUGCUGUGAAAAGCUGGGGCUUAACCCUGGCCUUGCAGUGGAUACGGGCAGACUAGAGGUAGGUAGGGGAGAAUGGAAUUCCCGGUGUAGCGGUGAAAUGCGCAGAUAUCGGGAAGAACACCCGUGGCGAAGGCGGUUCUCUGGGACGGUACUGACGCUGAGAUCGCGAAAGCG